rnacentral:rRNA from 1 species
AGGACGAACGCUGGCGGCGUGCUUAACACAUGCAAGUCGAACGGAAAGGCCCUUUCGGGGGUACUCGAGUGGCGAACGGGUGAGUAACACGUGGGUGAUCUGCCCUGCACUUUGGGAUAAGCCUGGGAAACUGGGUCUAAUACCGAAUACACCUUGCUGGCUGCAUGGCCUGGUGGGGAAAGCUUUUGCGGUGUGGGAUGGGCCCGCGGCCUAUCAGCUUGUUGGUGGGGUGAUGGCCUACCAAGGCGACGACGGGUAGCCGGCCUGAGAGGGUGUCCGGCCACACUGGGACUGAGAUACGGCCCAGACUCCUACGGGAGGCAGCAGUGGGGAAUAUUGCACAAUGGGCGCAAGCCUGAUGCAGCGACGCCGCGUGAGGGGACGACGGGCCUUCGGGUUGUAAACCGUCUUUCAGUAUCGACGAAGCGCAAGUGACGGUAGGUACAGAAGAAGCACCGGCCAACUACGUGCCAGCAGUCGC